rnacentral:lncRNA from 1 species
UGACUAACUGAUGUAUGAGACUGUCCCAAAAUUAACACUUUAGGUAUGACUCUGGGACGAAAAAAAUUUCAUGUACCAAAUGUUGAAAACCACAGAACUUGAGGGUAGUAAAUUGAUAUUCACCCAAUAUUAUAAUUCUGUGUGAGCGUGCUUUAUGUCAACUCGGCUUGAGAUGAGGGUUGAGAGAGAGAAAGAAACUGACUAUUGCUAGCCAUUGUGAAGUUUAUCCAACUCCCUCACCCCUUAGUGUAGAUAAUAUUGUUUGUUAAAAAAACAAAUAGUCAAAAACUAAGAGAGAUGAAUUUCUAGCGUGGUUGGGUCCAUACUAAAUGUAUGAAGUCUAACAAACAACCAAUUAGAACACAAUACCUAAUAUAGUUAUUUAAUUAAAUAUUUUUAAUUUUUGCGGUGCUGUUCGGUUUCGAUUCGGUUCCAAAAGGCCAAAACCGAAACCAAACCGUUUUCCUUCAUUGUGGUUCGGUUUCAAACUAAAACCACUUCAAAACUGCAAAACCAAACUGUUCAAUGCUGUCCGAUUUGGUUUAUGCUUCUGUUUCGAUUUUUGUGUUUCAAGUACCCACCCUAUGUGUGUGCAUAAAACGAUUAUAAUAAUAAUUUUAAAAAAAAUUAAUAACUGUUAGGUACAUGGCGAGUUUGAUAUCAAUUGAUUAUGGUUGACUUAUUAAGUGACUUAGCCCAAAUUUGCUCGUUCCAACACUAUUUUCAAAAUUUUAUUACCUAUCCCAUGUGUAAUAAACGUUAAGUACAAUAACAUUUAAGUAACUUUAACGAAAAACUUCCGGUAUUGUUCACUU